GAUGAACGCUGGCGGCGUGCCUAAUACAUGCAAGUCGAGCGAACGGACGAGAAGCUUGCUUUUCUGAUGUUAGCGGCGGACGGGCGAGUAACACGUGGAUAACCUACCUAUAAGACUGGGAUAACUUCGGGAAACCGGAGCUAAUACCGGAUAAUAUUUUGAACCGCAUGGUUCAAAAGUGAAAGACGGUCUUGCUGUCACUUAUAGAUGGAUCCGCGCUGCAUUAGCUAGUUGGUAAGGUAACGGCUUACCAAGGCAACGAUGCAUAGCCGACCUGAGAGGGUGAUCGGCCACACUGGAACUGAGACACGGUCCAGACUCCUACGGGAGGCAGCAGUAGGGAAUCUUCCGCAAAGGGCGAAAGCCUGACGGAGCAACGCCGCGUGAGUGAUGAAGGUCUUCGGAUCGUAAAACUCUGUUAUUAGGGAAGAACAUAUGUGUAAGUAACUGUGCACAUCUUGACGGUACCUAAUCAGAAAGCCACGGCUAACUACGUG
rnacentral:rRNA from 1 species